GCGAGGCAGGGUGAGGGGCGCCACCGAGGAAGCGCCCACCGGGCUCCCGGGGCUGCCAGGCCCCAAAUUGAGGAAGUUGACUGCCAGAUCACACUCUGUUGGCCCACGCAGAUAGAUUCCAUUCAUCCUUUCUAAUGUCUACACCAUAUUUUGGAUAACAUGCCAUCAUCUCACAUUGUGUUGAAAGAAGAAACCAGAAUGUUGGGGUUGAUGUAUGCCAUAUGGAUGAAUUUAAACAGUUUCGGCCUUGCAAUAAUUGGUAUACUUCUAAUUGCAUGUGAAAUUAUACUCUUUUUAACGAAAGAUGAAACUAUUCAGUGGCCACAUGUACCCAGUAACAGAGGGAGCAAAGCAAAUCUUAUCCUCAAAGAACUGCAGCUGCUUGUUAGAUCUACCUGGUGGUUCCAUAGAGAAACUGCUCAGAGAACCUGCCUUUACCUCGCCUAAAACAGAACUAUCCCGGAGCUCAGCAAAGGAGUCCAUUCAUCCUCUAUAACUGCUAUACAAUAUCUCUGUUAAAAUGCUGAGAAGAUUUAUCCUAAAAGAAGGCACCAAAGCAAUGGGGGCUGUGCAAAUAAUGAUUGGCCUGAUUCACAGUGCACUGGGAACUCUCUGAAUUCAUUGGAUUUUGCUAAGAGAGGAUUCAAGUGGUUCUGGUCCUAUCCCUAUAAUUGCUGUAGUAAUUUACUCAUUUUUGUCAUUAUUUUUUGAUCCAGUAGUGUAAUACAGAAGCCUGUUACGAGAUAUAAGCAAUUGUAAUGAACAGCAUAACUAUUUGUGUGACUACACUUGGUAUAAUUCUAUUAAGCAUGGAGAUUGCAACUUUUGCAUUAAAUGCAACCACAUACAAUUGGUCAAACAUGGUUGGUAUGAUGCUUUUACAAUAUUUACUACUCUGCACCAUCUUAGAGAUGACCAUUGUAAUCAUAAUCAUCCAGUGGGUUGUAAGAGCAUUUCAUCAUGAAAAACACACUGAAGAAAGCACUUUGCCCUCGGAAAUCUCACUGUCGGAAUCCUUGGAAAUCACACCACGCACAACUUCUAUUUCUUCAUAAUUUGCAAAGAACCAGUGUGACUCCAGUCAAGAACAAAAGAUUAAUUGUGAAUUAGCGAAGAACUCUAAUUUUUUCAAGCAGCCACAUGGAAAACGCAUUCUAAUGAAAUCCUUUCCAUUGCUCUUUUUUCUUAGUUCUUCAAUAAAGCAUGCGAUUUGAUCACAAAUUGACUCUUCCCUUUUUAAAAGCCAGUAUGGGUUAACACGGAUAAAUAUAGCCCCUGCAAUCCCUGUGGUUGAAGGGAUGUAGGAGAGUAGUGUUGAAUGCCCACUUUAUCUU
ensembl:lncRNA LINC00301 long intergenic non-protein coding RNA 301